rnacentral:rRNA from 1 species
AGUGAACGCUGGCGGUAGGCCUAACACAUGCAAGUCGAACGGCAGCACAGUAAGAGCUUGCUCUUACGGGUGGCGAGUGGCGGACGGGUGAGGAAUACAUCGGAAUCUACUUUUUCGUGGGGGAUAACGUAGGGAAACUUACGCUAAUACCGCAUACGACCUACGGGUGAAAGCAGGGGAUCUUCGGACCUUGCGCGAUUGAAUGAGCCGAUGUCGGAUUAGCUAGUUGGCGGGGUAAAGGCCCACCAAGGCAACGAUCCGUAGCUGGUCUGAGAGGAUGAUCGGCCACACUGGAACUGAGACACGGUCCAGACUCCUACGGGAGGCAGCAGUGGGGAAUAUUGGACAAUGGGCGCAAGCCUGAUCCAGCCAUACCGCGUGGGUGAAGAAGGCCUUCGGGUUGUAAAGCCCUUUUGUUGGGAAAGAAAAGCAGCAGGUUAAUACCCCGCUGUUCUGACGGUACCCAAAGAAUAAGCACCGGCUAACUUCGUG